rnacentral:rRNA from 1 species
UACUUAGUGGCAGACGGGUGAGUAACAUGUGGGUAUCUACCCUUUGGCCUGGAAUAACACGAGGAAACUUGUGCUAAUACCGGAUAAGUCUUUACGGAGAAAGCUUUAUGCACCAUUGGAUGAGCCCGCACUUGAUUAGUUUGUUGGUAGGGUAAUGGCCUACCAAGACUAUGAUCAAUAGCUGAUUUGAGAGGAUGAUCAGCCACAUUGGGACUGAGACACGGCCCAAACUCCUACGGGAGGCAGCAGUGGGGAAUCUUGCACAAUGGAGGAAACUCUGAUGCAGCGAUGCCGCGUGAGUGAAGAAGGCCUUUGGGUUGUAAAGCUCUUUCGUCGGGGAAGAAAAUGACUGUACCCGAAUAAGAAGGUCCGGCUAACUUCGUGCCAGCAGCCGCGGUAAUACGAAGGGACCUAGCGUAGUUCGGAAUUACUGGGCUUAAAGAGUUCGUAGGUGGUUGAAAAAGUUGGUGGUGAAAUCCCAGAGCUUAACUCUGGAACUGCCAUCAAAACUUUUCAGCUAGAGUAUGAUAGAGGAAAGC